GUGCUGGGAUUACAGGCAUGAGCCACCAUGCCUGGCCGAGCCUCUGGUUUUUAGGAGAGAACAAAGAAUCCUGAUUUUAAUGUAAAAUCUCUAAAGUAAUAACUCAUUAAAAAUAUUGCAAUGUCCAAAAGUAUCUUUGCAUUUAAAUUCUAAAAAUCUCUUAAGUAUUUUUUUAAAUAAUUGAAAAGUUAGUUUUUGUUAAGCUAAUAGGAAUGGGCCAGUUAACUAGAGUAGAUGGAUGUAGGAAAUUAAAUAUUUGAUUUAUUUAGGGAUCUAUAUGAUAUCAGUUAUCAAACAAUACAUUUUAACACAGAAGUAUACUGUGCUCUUUGUAUCUUUGAUCAUUCUUCAAGUAUUUCUCAGUCUUUUAGUCUAUCAGGAACAUUAUCAUCAAGAGCAACUAUUGUAGCAUAAUACUCUGGGUACAUGAAAUGUAUACGGGAGAUAAAUAGACAAUAGAUGAAGGUUUAUUGUUAUAAAAAUGAUCUACCACUUAUAUAAAAACAUUCUGAAAAUGUUAACAUUUUUGGGACUAAAGUCUGCAAAAUAAAUAGCUUCUUAAAGCAAAUUCCUAUUAAAUUGCCUUCUUGUUACACCUGGAAAAUAUAUAAUUUUUCUCUUUAAUUACGUUAGUAGCCUGAAUUAAAGCAACUAGAUAGACACUUUAAUUUGAAGCUGUUGAGUUCCUUGAAUUGUCUUUUUCAUUGGUACAUUUUAUCCAUUGUCACAACUGUGGUCUUCAUUAAUAACUUGUUUUUAAUGUCUUAGCGGUAGAAUGUGUUUCCUUAUUUUUUUUCAAGUAAGAGUCAGUUAAUUCAAAAUGGCAAAUUCUUUAGCUGAAUGUGUGCCAUUGUUCAUUUGCAAAGUUUAAUUUCAGGCAGAUCCAAGAAUUGUGUAAAGGUUGCAUCUUUGUUCCUCUUGCACAUUUUUUUUUUCUGGUAAUCAAAUCUGAAGGGACACCUAAGCAAGCAGACUUGGCUUAUUUUCCAGUUGGAUGGGAAUGGAAAACAAUGCUUGAGACUGGAUUCAACUUGAAUGCUUCCUGAUUAAAUAUAUUCAAGAUGAUUUCAGAGGAAUUUAAGUUUUGGAUCAUUCUUUUGGGAAAGAAAGAAAAGCACCCUUUUAAAAGAGGCAAGGUAUGAAAUGGCAAUCAUCUUGUUUGAAAAAUAUUGUAAUUUGAAAAGACAUCUAAAGUGCUAAACAUAAUCUAGAAUUACAUAUACAGAUCAGCCUAAUAUUGAACUAAGUGAAGGUUUAUAAUAUUGUGACUUAUGACAGUUUCUUAAUUUAUAUCCUCAGAGCCUAUUAAGUGAUAUUAACAGUCUUAAAGCAUAUGUAUCUCCUACCUGGGCCCAGCUUCCUUCCUCAGAUUCUUUCUGUGUUAGCAGCAGGAAAUGAUUAAUAAAGCAGGUAAAUAUAAAUUAAUAUCAAAUCAAUACAGUAAAACUUUUCUAGCAGAAGCAAAAUUGUUAUACAAAAUAAUUUGUAUCACAGGCAGAUAAACACAUAGAUUCUUACUCAGACCCACAGUGAUCAAUUUUACAGUUCAAAGGCAAUUACACAGUAACUACAUAGUUUUUAAUUAAUUCUAAUUUAAAUGUUAAAUGCAUAAUUUUGUGAACAUUUGAUUUGGUCAUUCCAAACCUUUUUUUAAUUCUUAAAUGAGUGUAAUUUUCAAAAUGUAAUGUGCCAUAAUAAAAAUUUCUGAUGUCAUAUAUGCGUAUGUAUAUAUAAUAGGGAAAUCUUACACAAAGUAAAUUAGUGAAGUGAAAAAACUAACUAUAUUCCUCCAACAAAGCUUUGUGAUAAUCAAAUAGAUUUCAACAGUAGUCAACAAAACAAAACAAGACAAAAACCAAGUACAACAAAACUAAACUAAAAAUGAAAUUAGUACAAGACAUUGGUGAUUUUAGCCAUAACAAAUUUGUAGAUAAUUUUCAAAUAAGGAUAACACUGAAAAGACGUUAAAUUAAACAGAAGUUGAUAAAGAUAAAAUAUAUGAUAUGCCCAACUUUGUUACUUUACAUGAAAAAAUGACUUUUAUAACAUUUUAUUUUUGAAAGUUACAGAGUCCCCAAGAAAUUCUUUAAAAUUGUGCUUUUCAAUAUCAAAUUAACAUAAAGCUUUUUUGGUUUUUGGUUUUUUUUUUUUUUUUUUUUUUUUUAGGUCAAGCUUUGUAUCUAAGAUGGUAAAGCACAAGAAACCAUAUGAUCAUAUUAAAAAUGAAUAUUCAAUCUAAUAUUUUCUAUUACCAAUUUAAUUUGGUUUAGAAACCUGUUACCUGUGAACAUGUCCAAUACUAAAUGGUAUUUGUUACAAAAACUUCCAAUGUUGCAACAUGAUUUAUUACAUUCUUGCUUGUUUGUGUACUAUAAGCUCUUAUGAUAUUAGCCACAAUCUAAUACUAUUUCAUUUAAAAAUUUCAAGAGAAUACUGAAGAAUAAAACUGUAAAAAAUGUUAGUUAUUACUGCAUAUAACUAUAAAAACACACCCUAUUUCUCUGGUCUAUAGUAAACAAAUUAGUUUCCUCAUCCAAAGAGCAGCAAAGUCACUUUCCUUCAGGUUCAACAAAGCCAUAGGACUAACCGUUUUUGCUGGAGCUGCAAGAUUUUCCAUUUCUUCAUGAGUCACCCAAACGUUGCCUGAAGGCUAGUGAGGAGGCCCAGAGGGAAGCAGAGGAAUCCAUGGGAGGCAAGCAGUGGUAAAGAAGAAAGGCAGCACCUCUGUGAGUUAACAGCAACACAGCAAUACCACAGUGCCCGUGCCCCUACCGUGUGCACAAGAGAGACAGCAUGGCUGGUUUGCUCAGAGCUCCCUGUUUCUUCUACUCAAAAAGAUUAACUAGAAAGAGGCAUGUUGGGAAGCUCUUGAGGGGUAGAUUUAAAAUGACAUUUCUGCAAUUAUGAAUCAGAAAAUAAGCAUCAUCAAAAUUUGCAUUCCAAUGGUAUGUGGCUAUCAGAUCAAUUUUUUUAAUAGUGGUGAACUGAUUAAAUUUGAACUGUAGAAUAAUGAAUUUUUAAUCAGAAAACAAUGGCACAUGCAUGUGUUGUGUUAUUACCAAAAUUUCCUUUCACAUAAUUUUGAUUCCCAAUAUCCUUUGAAGGAAAAAAUUGGUUGUCAAUAUAAAGCUGGAAGCAUUAUCAUAACUAAUCUGGAAACCAGCAUCAGCUUUUUCCAAAUGAUUAUUUUUUUGUGUGUGAUUCAAUAAAUAUUAAGUGUUCCUGGAUUCUUGCAGAUGAAAAAGAAAUGAAAUGCUAUUUUUAAUUUAUUUUUCAGCCACACUAAUAAUUGUCAAAUUACAAAAUCCAUAUAUUUCCUAAUUCUUCACCAGUAUUUGAUACCAUUAUAGAGAAGAAUACAGUGUAAAAGAAAAUUCUUUCUUUAACAGGCAAUAUUCUAUUGUAAAGUCCCAUUUGCUUUGUAAAAAAACCCCUUGGUAUUAGUUCUAUACACUUAAUAACGUACAGUUUCAAAACCAAAGUCCACUGAGUAACAUAAAGAUCAGGCAUAUCAUUCAAGGUAUUGGGCCCCUGGAAACCACUUGCCAUCAAAUUCCAUCACUUCUUUAUGAACAUUGCAAGGUUUUCCAAGCACAUCAAUGAAAUUUACAUCCUAUGUAUUUUUUGCUACUUGUUCUGGGAAGGGUCCAAUUUCUAAAGAAUUGGUGUAGCAAAGUUGUUACCCAAACAUUGUUAAGUCAUCGCCAUAAUUCACUUUGGGCUUUUCUGCGAUUUAUCUAGUACCAUGACUUUUUCUGUAUUAAAAAUAAUAUAAUUCAAUAUAAUUUAAAGUGUAACUACAUAUAAAUUGAUGAGUAUAAUUUGUUGUAAGUGAAAUUUUAUAUAUGUAUAUAGGUGCAUACAUACAGUCAUGUAAUACAUACUGAUGUUUUAGUCAGGAAUGGAGUACAUUCCCAACAAUGGUGUCAUAUGAUUAUAAUAGAGCUGAAAAGUUCCUGUCACCUAGUGCUGUCAUAGUCAUUAUGCCAUUGUAUUGCAAUGCAUUACUCACAUGUUUGUGGUAACACUAGUGUAAACAAACCUAUUGCACUGCUAGUCAUAUAAAAGUAUAGCACACGCAACUAUGUGCAGCCCAUAAUAGUUGAUAAUGAUAAUUAAUGACUAGGUUACUGGUUUAUGUUUUACCACACCAUACUUUUUCAAUGAUUAUUUUACAGUGUACUCCCUCUACUUUUGUUUUUUAAAGAGUUAACUGUAAAGUAGCCCCAAGUAAGUUCUUCAGGAGGUAUCUCAAAAGAAGGCAUUGAUAUCCUAGGAGAUGACAGCUCCACAUGUGUUACUGCUCAGUGGAACAAGAUAUGGAGAUGAAAGACAGUGAUACUGAUGGUACCAACCCUGGGUAGACCUAUAGUAAUUUGUGUGUUCGUGUCUUAGUUUUUAACGAAAAAAUUUAAAGAGGGAAAUAAUGAAAUAGCAGAAAGCUUAUAGGACAAGGAUAUAAAGAAAUUAAUUUUGUUCAGCUGUACAUUGUGUUGGUGUUUUAAGCUAAGUAUUAUUUAAAAAGAGUCAAAACUUAACAAAAAAGGUUUAUAAAGUGUAAACAUUACCAUAAGCUAAGGCUAAUUUAUUAUUGAAGAAAUAAAAAGAUUUUUUAAUGACGUGUGUAGCAUAAAAGUAUAGUGUUUAUAAAAUCUACAGUAGUAUAUAGUAGUGUCCUAGGCCUUCAUAUUCGUCACUGCUCAUUCACUGACUCGUUCAGAGCAACUUCUAGUCCUGCAAGCUUCAUUACUGGUAAGUGUUCUAUUCAUGUGUACCAUUUUUAUCUUUUAUAUUAUAUUUUUACUGUACAUUUUCUAUGUUUAGAUAUAUUUGGAUACACACAUAUUUACCACGAUGUUACAACUGCCUACAGUAUUCAGCUUGGUAUCAUGCUGUACAGGUUUGUAGCCUGGAGCAAUAAAUUAUACCACAUAGCCUAGGUGUGCAGUAGUCUAUACCAUUUAGGUUUAUGUAAAUAUGCUCCAUGAUAUUCUCAGAAUAACAAAGUUGUCUCAUGACUCAUUUCUUAGAACAUAUAUCUGGCAUUAAGUGACAUAUGAUUGUAUAUAUACUUCAGUAACAAGUGAAAUUGGGUGGUAAAGAUUCAUAAUUAAAAGCAAAUUCUAUGCACAUAAAAAUUCCAUAGGCUAGGCAUCAAAUAUAUAUGUAGAAUUAUUUUUCUUCUACUGUUUUGAAAUUUAGAGUCUAGCUGAUGUAUUUUUCUAUAAGUCUGUGUAUACCUAUGAAAUAAAUUUACAAUACAAAAGUCAUUUAUGUCAUUAAAAGUCCCUUUCUUGUAUCCUCAGCUUCUAACAAUGAUGCUCAUUAUAAACAAAGUUUCAUAUGAAUAUAUAAAACAUUACAUUACUUGGAAUAAAUUGUUUUUACUGACUUUAUGAGAGUGUGCUAGGCUGAAAAGCACUUUACACUCAUCUGUCACAUUUCCUUUACACCCAGUUAUCAUGGAGCUUUGCUUGAAUGGCUGUACUGUUUGUUCAAUGUGAGUUUCAGUGAUGAUUACCUGAGAGAAAAUUCAUUUAAGCCAAUCUUAAAUGGCUUAAGCUUGCAGAACAGUGUAAAAUCAAUUUUACACUGAUUUGUGUAGCUUCUCCUUUGAUUCAUAAUCCAAACAAUGAAGAUCUCACUCCUACUUUAAGAAACUACCUGUAUAUUAAUUAUCUAACACUAGAAUAGAUACAUGCAUAAUAUCUUUCACAGCUUAUCUUAAGGUUGUGUCUGCCAGUCUAUCACCAUAUUCUGGGAUGGGGGAAGAUGCUGGAAGCUGGUUUUAUCUGUUUCUUUCCUCACAAAAUGAGUAUAUACCCAGGGCAAAUUUUUAAAGUGUGGUUGGCAAAUUUACAGAAGUUGUAUGUUGUUUCUGUUUGAUAUGUAGUUUUACUUGUGAAGAGCACUGCCUGCCCUAUAGUCUUGUAAAACAGCCAACAGAAAUAGUUUCUACAAAACCCAAUCAAGUAGACAUUAACUGAAGUUCUAACAAGUUUAUUUUAUAAGCAAGUUCAUACGUAGUAAGUCAAUUAUUCAAUCAGAUUGCUCUCUCUCCACCACCACUUAAGGGGAUGGAAUUUGCAUGUAAGUACAUCAUGAGGGAAUAAUUUAGAGCAUGAGUUUCAGAGAAGAACAUCCCUAUGAGAGAGGUAGACUGGGAAGCUUUGAGCAACCAAAGGGCCUAAGGAUACAAGUGCUUUGGUAUUGAGGAUAAGGAGAGUACAAAAAGUAGGUUGGAAAAGUAUAAAAAACAAACAUCGUAUAACUUGGUUGUGGUCCUCUGAGAUCCCCUUAAAAUUACCUACUCACUGCUCUCAGUAGUCUGUGCUGCAACCUCCCAAAAAUGUGUGAGCUAAACAAUGCAAACCAAUAGUCAUUUUUUUGUGGCUAAUAUCAUCUGAGUCUAACAUGUAAUUUAUAAAAUUUUAAUUAUAUUAUCAAAUUAGAUACAAGGGGCUUGAGCUAUACAGCAGCACUUAUCAGUGACCAUCCUAGGACAUUUCCUAAACCUGUCUAAAUUUCAGGUUCUGCAUCUCUUAAGUGGGACUAAAAGUGCAUGCUCCAGAUUAGAAAGAAACACUACAAAGUUUAUAUUAUAAUACAAUAUGUUCUUAUACAGAACUGGGACUAGGAUGAGGCACAUGAGGUCCCAGGGGACUAUAAUGUAAGGAAGCAAUCACUUUCAGGGUUGAUAUCUGACAAUGAGAGCCUCUUUAAAUUUUUUUGCUUGAAAUGUCUUGCUUGUCUCCCCUUAGUCCACAUGUAAUAGAAUGUUGAGAAAGUAUCAUCAUCGAGUGAGAACUAGAAGGAAAUCUCUACAGGAUGAUAAGAAUUAAACACUUACCCAAUUAAAUCAUUCUGGAAAGAGUUACAACAGGAAAGUAAAUAAUAAAACGAACUUAAGAAAUAAUUCAUGAAAAUUAAUCAGGUGAAAAUAAUAAAUACUUUUGCUGUCAGAGAUACAGAAUAAGCAGCCAGAUCUCAGAAUAAUCUUAAAUCUUAUCUGGUUAAAGUAAGUUUUGUUACUACCUAUCUCAUUUAAAGUGUUUUUUACUUUGUAAUGGAAUUACAAAGUAGUAACUUGAAAUUACUGUUUACAUUCAAAUGGCCUGUAUCCACAUUUCUCCCCUAUCUGAAUUUUUGUCUCUCAUUAUUAGAUAAAUCCUUCUCAUUAUAAUAAGAAUGGUAUUUAUACCUCACCCUCUUUCCAAAAAGGUUGAGGUUUAUAAAGAAAAUUAUACCUCACUCUUUUUUCAAUGAAGGUUGAGGCUUAUGAGGAAUCAAAAGAAGAACCAAACAGACUAAAAGAAUGCUAUAAAAAGAAAAACUGAUAGAAUGCAGGAAGCAGAAGCAGGAAAAUGUACUUUUUAGCAGCAGCAAAUCCACAUAGGAGUAUGAUCUUAGAUGAGUCAGUUUACUUCUUUAUAUCAGUUUUGCCCAUUUGUGAAACAGCUGUAAUAAAAGUACCUUUCUCAUAGUGUGGUUGUGAGUCUUAAAUGGGUUAUUACAUGUAAAGCACUUAGAACAGGGCCUGACAGUGAGCAUUCUGCUGAUGUUGGCUACUACUGUAUUUAUAUUAGAAUUCUGUUAGGCAAUCUCCAUUCAAGCAAAUCUUUAAUUCAAGAAAUAUUCUGUACUUCUCCAUAUUACACUGCGCUAAUGAAUGCCUAUCUUCUGCCUUACAUUUAUGCUCAAUCUUGUUAAAUUAUAUGGUUAUUAAAAAAUCACUGUUUAAAACUUAUUUAUUUCCCCUGUAUUUGCUUUUAAAAUGUUUGACUCAUCAAUUUAAGUAAAUGUUACAUAAAGCAAAAUAUAAAACAAAUUUGGCUCAUAUAUAAACACUAAGUCAAAUUAGUUGGAAAAACAAGAGGUAGGCAAAUGUUGAAACACACUAUUAAUAAAACACAACUUUGUCAAAGUAUGGGGAAGAAAUUGUAAAUGUCCAGAAGGAUUCCUCAUUCAAAUGGCUUUUUGAGUUAGCUUGAAGUCAUCACUUUAAAAAGAAACAACAGCUAGAGAAAUUAAACAUGUUUCCAGUAAGAUUAUCCAAAAGGAUAUUGUAGAACUCAAGACAUUGGAAACAUGCACACAAAAAAAAUGUUCUAGAUGCUCCAUCUAAAUUUGCAAUGCUUGAGCAUUUCUAUAAUUUUUACCUAAGAUAAAAUAUUCAAAGAAUAUAUGUAUUUUUAUGAUAACCUUCUUCAACCGAAUUUCAAUUAACUGAUAUCUCCAUCUCUAACCUACUAGGAAAGAGACUUUCUAUAUUAAUAGUAGCUUGGGGAAAAGAAAUGGAAAGCUAGAAAUUUAGGGCUGAUCCAAGGUAAUCAUACAAGUGACAUUUAGAUUUUUCCUUUUUGGUGGUCCUUCCCAUUAUAUCUAGGCAGGAAAUGAGGCAGAAUCAAAUAGAAAUGGUAGUCAGUUAAAAAAAAAAAAAAGCCCAAGAACCUUAUCUUUUUCUCCUCAGAAUUUCAGUUAAUAAACACGAUACACUGGU